GACGAACGCUGGCGGCGUGCUUAACACAUGCAAGUCGAACGAUGAACUUGGAGCUUGCUCUGGGGGAUUAGUGGCGAACGGGUGAGUAACACGUGAGUAACCUGCCCUGGACUCUGGGAUAACUUCGAGAAAUCGGAGCUAAUACCGGAUAGGACCUUGCACCGCAGGGUGUGGGGUGGAAAGUUUUUCGGUUUGGGAUGGACUCGCGGCCUAUCAGCUUGUUGGUGAGGUAAUGGCUCACCAAGACGUCGACGGGUAGCCGACCUGAGAGGGUGACCGGCCACACUGGGACUGAGACACGGCCCAGACUCCUACGGGAGGCAGCAGUGGGGAAUAUUGCACAAUGGGCGCAAGCCUGAUGCAGCAACGCCGCGUGCGGGAUGACGGCCUUCGGGUUGUAAACCGCUUUUAGUAGGGAAGAAGCCUUCGGGUGACGGUACCUGCAGAAAAAGGACCGGCUAACUACGUGCCAGCAGCCGCGGUAAAAC
rnacentral:rRNA from 1 species